UGGGGAAUUUUGGACAAUGGGCGAAAGCCUGAUCCAGCAAUGCCGCGUGUGUGAAGAAGGCCUUCGGGUUGUAAAGCACUUUUGUCCGGAAAGAAAUCCUUGGCUCUAAUACAGUCGGGGGAUGACGGUACCGGAAGAAUAAGCACCGGCUAACUACGUGCCAGCAGCCGCGGUAAUACGUAGGGUGCAAGCGUUAAUCGGAAUUACUGGGCGUAAAGCGUGCGCAGGCGGUUUGCUAAGACCGAUGUGAAAUCCCCGGGCUCAACCUGGGAACUGCAUUGGUGACUGGCAGGCUAGAGUAUGGCAGAGGGGGGUAGAAUUCCACGUGUAGCAGUGAAAUGCGUAGAGAUGUGGAGGAAUACCGAUGGCGAAGGCAGCCCCCUGGGCCAAUACUGACGCUCAUGCACGAAAGCGUGGGGAGCAAACAGGAUUAGAUACCCUGGUAGUCCACGCCCUAAACGAUGUCAACUAGUUGUUGUGGAUUCAUUUUCCUUAGUAACGUAGCUAACGCGUGAAGUUGACCGCCUGGGGAGUACGUCGC
rnacentral:rRNA from 1 species